rnacentral:rRNA from 1 species
GACGAACGCUGGCCGCGUGCUUAACACAUGCAACUCGAACGGAGAGGCGGACGGGUGAGUCACACGUGGGUGAUCUGCCUUGCACAUCGAGAUAAGCAUUGGAAACUGGGUCUAAUACCAGAUAGUGAAAGAUGAGCUCGCGGCCUAUCAGCUUGUUGGUCGGGUAAUGGCCUGCCAAGGCGUCGACGGGUAGCCGGCAUGAGAGGGUGUGCGGCCACAUUGGGGCUGAGGUACGGCCCAGACCGCUACGGGAAGCGGCAGUGGGGAAUAUUGCACAAGGGGCGGAAGCCGGAUGCAGGGACGCGGCGUGGGAGAUGAAGGCCUUCGGGUUGUAAACUCCUUGCGACAGGGACGCGGUACCUGUAUAAGAGUCACCGGCUAAGUACGUGCCAGCAGCCGCGGUAAUUC